CGUCUAUAUACGUAUAGCAUAUCAAUAAGCGGAGGAAAAGAAACUAACUAGGAUUCCCUCAGUAACGGCGAGUGAAGCGGGAAGAGCUCAAAUUUGAAAUCUUCAAGGUUCUACCUUGACGAAUUGUAGUUUAAAGAAGUGUUUUCUGUUGGAGUUUUGGUAAAAGUUCUUUGGAAUAGGACAUCAUAGAGGGUGAGAAUCCCGUAUUUGACCAUUACUUUCCAGCUGUUGUGAUACACUUUCAAAGAGUCGGAUUGUUUGGGAAUGCAGUCCAAAAUGGGUGGUAAAUUUCAUCUAAAGCUAAAUACUGGCGAGAGACCGAUAGCGAACAAGUACCGUGAGGGAAAGAUGAAAAGAACUUUGAAAAGAGAGUUAAACAGUACGUGAAAUUGUCAAAAGGGAAGCGUUUGACACCAGUGUUGUUUUCUCGAAAAUCAAUUAAAAAUGGUGGGAUUUUGUGUUGUAUUGACUUUAUCAGCUUUCUGCACUUUUUUCCUGUCUUUUUUAAUGCACUUUUCGUUUAACAAGUCAACAUCAAUUUCUUUUGUUGUAAAAGGGUCAUUGGAAGGUGGCUUUCUUUUCGGAGAAAGUGUUUAUAGCCUUUGCCUCUGCAAUCGGAGAGAUUGAGGUCUGCAGCGUAGAUCCUUCGGGGUUAGAUGCAUUUGUGCUAAGCUAUAGCCUUUCAUAGACAACUUGUUGACUAUGAUCAGUCAUGUAGCUUACUCGCUUAUGUCAUUUUACCUACGCUUAGGAUGUUGACGAUCAGCUGAGCGCG
rnacentral:rRNA from 1 species